CUCUGAAACUUGCCAAUAAAACAGGCCAAUCAACUUUGCCAUCUUUAUCAUCCAUAUUGCCUCCAUGUCCUUAAAGAACUAGCGUUAUUGCACCUGUAUUCCAUCCCCAACAUCAAGAAGUGAACACCUAAGUAAUUGCUAUGCUACACACACUGUGCUUUAGUGGUAAAGAGCAUGCCUGCUGAUGCAGGAGACAUAAGAGAUGCAUGUUUGACCCCUGGGUUGGGAAGAUCCCCUGGAGGAGGGCAUGGAAAUCCAUUCCAGUAUUCUUGCCUGGAGAAUCCCAUAGACAGAGGAUCCUGGCAGGCUACAUUCUAUAGGGUCACAAAGAGUCAGACACAACUGAAGCGACUUAGCAUGCACACGUGCUGCAGAUAUCACAAAUCAAUCACUUGCGCUGUAAUCUUUGAGGGAAACCCAACGUGAGCCAAAGAUCCCAAGGAGCAAUGUUAGGCAAGAGGGAAAGAGAAACAGAGAAGGGAGGGAGUAACAUAUGUGCUUAAUAUGUGUGCUUCUGAGCACACUGAGGGCCACCGGGCACUGUGUCGAAGCCGUCUCAAAGGCUAGGUUUGUUGGGAUAUUUAUCAGCCAGUUACCGUCAUCAUUGGUGGUUAUCUGUGCCUGUGGCUUUAACACCUCAGUACUUCAGUCCGCUCUGCGCACAGGCAGAAACUGCCCUUGAGACCAGACAAAGCACCCAGGUGUAACAGGGGCUGGCAGAAAGAGUUGUCAGUAUGCACAGGCAGAGUGAGUCCCUGGGGGACUUGGUUGGAGGCCUCACUGUAAGACCCGGGGGUUGUCCUGCUGACCUGCAGAACUUUGAUUUCAAGGCCAUACUUGGAGUGGAUGUUGGAAUAUCUUGGAAAAUCAUCUUUCUGUCAGGGGAGUGUGUAAUUUCCUCGGUUCUGUCUCGUCACAACAAAAAUUUGAAGCGACGGAUGUUAAAGCCGUCAGACAGACCAUGUCUCAGCUCUCGGACAGAUCAGUGUUACAGCUUUGUGUUACAGCUUGGUUUUAUUUAGAAAAUAAAAGGAAAAUACAUCCUCGAGGCGUGAGAGCAUGCCGACCCAAAAGAUGCAAAGAGAAGAGAGAGAGAGACGGAGAGAGGCCUGGCCCUUUGGCUCCUCCUUUUAUAUGUUUUUUCUCCUCCCCGUUGGGCCUGCCCUAUGUAACUUGGGCUAGCCAGGAGUGCUGCUUGUUCUAUCUGAGGUCCUCACUCCAGUCGUCCGGGGACCUUCCUUUGUUCUGUUUUCUCGGGCUUUUCCCUUCCUUGUCUUUUAGCCACCGCAAUUCUAGAUUCCUUUUUCGUAUUCUAAGUGAAAGUGAAGUCGCUCAGUCAUGUCCAACUCUUUGCGACCCCAUGGACUAUAGCCUACUAGGCUCCUCCAUCCAUGGGAUUUUCUAGGCAAGAGUACUGGAGUGGGCUGCCAUUUCUUUCUCCAGGGGAUCUUCCCAACCCAAGGAUUGAACCUGGGUCUCCCUCACUCCAGGCAGAUGCUUUACUGUCUGAGCC
ensembl:lncRNA